rnacentral:rRNA from 1 species
AUUGAACGCUGGCGGCAUGCCUUACACAUGCAAGUCGAACGGUAACAGGUCUUCGGAUGCUGACGAGUGGCGAACGGGUGAGUAAUACAUCGGAACGUGCCCGAUCGUGGGGGAUAACGAGGCGAAAGCUUUGCUAAUACCGCAUACGAUCUACGGAUGAAAGCGGGGGAUCUUCGGACCUCGCGCGGACGGAGCGGCCGAUGGCAGAUUAGGUAGUUGGUGGGAUAAAAGCUUACCAAGCCGACGACCUGUAGCUGGUCUGAGAGGAUGAUCAGCCACACUGGGACUGAGACACGGCCCAGACUCCUACGGGAGGCAGCAGUGGGGAAUUUUGGACAAUGGGCGAAAGCCUGAUCCAGCCAUGCCGCGUGCAGGAUGAAGGCCUUCGGGUUGUAAACUGCUUUUGUACGGAACGAAAAGCCUCUUUCUAAUAAAGAGGGGUCAUGACGGUACCGUAAGAAUAAGCACCGGCUAACUACGUG